rnacentral:rRNA from 1 species
AUUGAACGCUGGCGGAAUGCUUUACACAUGCAAGUCGAACGGCAGCACGGGAGCAAUCCUGGUGGCGAGUGGCGAACGGGUGAGUAAAGUAUCGGAACGUGCCCAGUCGUGGGGGAUAACGUAGCGAAAGUUACGCUAAUACCGCAUACGAUCUAUGGAUGAAAGGGGGGGAUCGCAAGACCUCGCGCGAUUGGAGCGGCCGAUAUCAGAUUAGGUGGUUGGUGGGGUAAAGGCUCACCAAGCCGACGAUCUGUAGCUGGUCUGAGAGGACGACCAGCCACACUGGGACUGAGACACGGCCCAGACUCCUACGGGAGGCAGCAGUGGGGAAUUUUGGACAAUGGGCGAAAGCCUGAUCCAGCCAUGCCGCGUGCAGGAUGAAGGCCUUCGGGUUGUAAACUGCUUUUGUACGGAACGAAAAGGUUUGGGCUAAUAAGCUGAGCUCAUGACGGUACCGUAAGAAUAAGCACCGGCUAACUACGUGCCAGCCGCCGCCGUAA